rnacentral:misc_RNA from 1 species
GAUGAAAACGUAGCGAAAUGCGAUAAGUAAUGUGAAUUGCAGAAUUCAGUGAAUCAUCGAAUCUUUGAACGCACAUUGCGCCCCCUGGCAUUCCGGGGGGCAUGCCUGUUCGAGCGUCAUUACAACCCUCAAGCUCUGCUUGGUAUUGGGCUCUGCUGGGACCGGCAGGCCUUAAAAUCAGUGGCGGCGCCACUCGGCUUCAAGCGUAGUAAUUCUUCUCGCUUCGGAGACCCGGGUGCGUGCUAGCCAGCAACCCCCAACUUUCUUAGGUUGACCUCGGAUCAGGUAGGGAUACCCGCUGAACUUAAGCAUAUCAAUAAGCGGAGGA